GACGAACGCUGGCGGCGUGCUUAACACAUGCAAGUCGAGCGGUAAGGCCCUUUCGGGGUACGACGAGCGGCGAACGGGUGAGUAACACGUGGGUGACCUGCCCUCAGCUCUGGGGUAAGCCUGGGAAACCGGGUCUAAUACCGGAUAUGACUCCAUGACGCAUGUUGUGGGGUGGAAAGCCUUGUGCGGCUGAGGAUGGGCCCGCGGCCUAUCAGCUUGUUGGUGGGGUGAUGGCCACCAAGGCGACGACGGUAGCCGGCCUGAGAGGGCGACCGGCCACACUGGGACUGAGACACGGCCCAGACUCCUACGGGAGGCAGCGAGUGGGGAAUCUUGCGCAAUGGGCGAAAGCCUGACGCAGCGACGCCGCGUGAGGGAUGACGGCCU
rnacentral:rRNA from 1 species